rnacentral:lncRNA from 1 species
GAACUGGGUGUCCUUAGUGCCAUUCUAAUAUGGUGGUUGUGCCAAGUGCACUUGCACACUGUCUUCCGAUUCAGCCAACACAUUUUGUGGAGAUUGCAUAUCAUGCAGCUAGCUAUUGAUUUUUAAAACACUUCAGUUUUUUUUUUUGAAACGAACCGGCAGGAGAGCUGCCUGCUGUAUUAAAAAGAAGAGAUCGCCUAGACAGGCACUAUACAACCCCAGCCAACUGGGCUCUAUACACAGCUAAAAGAACCGACGACAAGUAAGCAAAGCAAAGCAACAAAAAGAAGCUCAAAAAACUAGGGUACAGAACGAAGAUGGUGUCGUUGGAUGCAAGAAGAGAGGUGCUUUGCUCCUGCCAAAAUCCACAACCUCGCCUCAUCUUUGAUUUUCUGAAGUACCACAAAAUUGGCGGACUCUCUGUGCUCAAACACUCUCGCAUUUCUCUCCUUCCAGAUCUCCCAGCAAGCUAGUAUAAUGAGUGAACGUCGGCCUUUCCUACUUGUACUCGGCGCAUUUGAUAUCGCCAUCCACCAUUCCUCGGUCGUGUUGCUUGGCGGCCAUGCACUUGGGUGCAGGUAGGAGUUUUGCGCCCAUGUGGAGAUUUCCUUCCACAGGCGCUUCGUGAACCUGC